rnacentral:rRNA from 1 species
AGACGGAGGGGGCUAGCGUUGUUCGGAAUUACUGGGCGUAAAGCGCACGUAGGCGGCUUGUCAAGUUGGGGGUGAAAGCCCGGAGCUCAACUCCGGAACUGCCCUCAAAACUGGCUCGCUAGAGUCCGGGAGAGGUGAGUGGAAUUCCCAGUGUAGAGGUGAAAUUCGUAGAUAUUGGGAAGAACACAAGUGGCGAAGGCGGCUCACUGGACCGGUACUGACGCUGAGGUGCGAAAGCGUGGGGAGCAAACAGGAUUAGAAACCCCGGUAGUCC